ACUCCUACGGGAGGCAGCAGUGGGGAAUAUUGCACAAUGGGCGCAAGCCUGAUGCAGCCAUGCCGCGUGUGUGAAGAAGGCCCUCGGGUUGUAAAGCACUUUCAGUUGUGAGGAAGGUGGUGUCGUUAAUAGCGGCAUCAUUUGACGUUAGCAACAGAAGAAGCACCGGCUAACUCCGUGCCAGCAGCCGCGGUAAUACGGAGGGGUGCGAGCGUUAAUCGGAAUUACUGGGCGUAAAGCGCAUGCAGGUGGUUUGUUAAGUCAGAUGUGAAAGCCCGGGGCUCAACCUCGGAACUGCAUUUGAAACUGGCAGACUAGAGUACUGUAGAGGGGGUAGAAUUUCAGGUGUAGCGGUGAAAUGCGUAGAGAUCUGAAGGAAUACCAGUGGCGAAGGCGGCCCCCUGGACAAAGACUGACGCUCAGAUGCGAAAGCGUGGGGAGCAAACAGGAUUAGAUACCCUUGUAGCACAGAG
rnacentral:rRNA from 1 species